UACGUAGGGUGCGAGCGUUGUCCGGAAUUAUUGGGCGUAAAGGGCUCGUAGGCGGUUUGUCGCGUCGGGAGUGAAAACUCAGGGCUUAACCCUGAGCCUGCUUCCGAUACGGGCAGACUAGAGGUAUGCAGGGGAGAACGGAAUUCCUGGUGUAGCGGUGAAAUGCGCAGAUAUCAGGAGGAACACCGGUGGCGAAGGCGGUUCUCUGGGCAACAACUGACGCUGAGGAGCGAAAGCGUGGGGAGCGAACAGG
rnacentral:rRNA from 1 species